rnacentral:rRNA from 1 species
CCUACGGGAGGCAGCAGUGAGGAAUAUUGGUCAAUGGACGCAAGUCUGAACCAGCCAUGCCGCGUGCAGGAAGACGGCUCUAUGAGUUGUAAACUGCUUUUGUACGAGGGUAAAUCCCGAUACGUGUAUCUGGUUGAAAGUAUCGUACGAAUAAGGAUCGGCUAACUCCGUGCCAGCAGCCGCGGUAAUCCGGAGGAUUCAAGCGUUAUCCGGAUUUAUUGGGUUUAAAGGGUGCGUAGGCGGUUCGAUAAGUUAGAGGUGAAAUCCCGGGGCUCAACUCCGGCACUGCCUCUGAUACUGUCGGGCUAGAGUUUAGUUGCGGUAGGCGGAAUGUAUGGUGUAGCGGUGAAAUGCAUAGAGAUCAUACAGAACACCGAUUGCGAAGGCAGCGUACCAAACUACGACUGACGUUGAGGCACGAAAGCGUGGGGAGCAAACAGGAUUAGAUACCCUUGUAGUC